UUAACUAUUAUAUAGUACUCAGAUAUUACAAAAUUACAGAGUUGGGUCCUCUGGCAGGCACUCUCCAGCCGAAGCCGGUGCUCACCGUUAGGUUCGCGGCCCACCAAAGCAACAGUUGAAUGAUACACAAGGGUGGAGGUUGACGGCUUAAGGGGGUUUUACGCCCUCUUACCGAAUCUCAUUCUAAUGAUCCUUCCGCAGGUUCACCUACGGAAA
rnacentral:misc_RNA from 1 species